rnacentral:rRNA from 1 species
GCCCUUAGAGUUUGAUCCUGGCUCAGGAUGAACGCUAGCGGCAGGCUUAACACAUGCAAGUCGAGGGGCAGCAUAAUGGAUAGCAAUAUCUAUGGUGGCGACCGGCGCACGGGUGCGUAACGCGUAUGCAACCUACCUUUAACAGGGGGAUAACACUGAGAAAUUGGUACUAAUACCCCAUAAUAUCAUAGAAGGCAUCUUUUAUGGUUGAAAAUUCCGAUGGUUAGAGAUGGGCAUGCGUUGUAUUAGCUAGUUGGUGGGGUAACGGCUCACCAAGGCGACGAUACAUAGGGGGACUGAGAGGUUAACCCCCCACACUGGUACUGAGACACGGACCAGACUCCUACGGGAGGCAGCAGUGAGGAAUAUUGGUCAAUGGACGCAAGUCUGAACCAGCCAUGCCGCGUGCAGGAUGACGGCUCUAUGAGUUGUAAACUGCUUUUGUACGAGGGUAAACGCAGAUACGUGUAUCUGUCUGAAAGUAUCGUACGAAUAAGGAUCGGCUAACUCCGUGCCAGCAGCCGCGGUAAUACGGAGGAUUCAAGCGUUAUCCGGAUUUAUUGGGUUUAAAGGGUGCGUAGGCGGUUUGAUAAGUUAGAGGUGAAAUUUCGGGGCUCAACCCUGAACGUGCCUCUAAUACUGUUGAGCUAGAGAGUAGUUGCGGUAGGCGGAAUGUAUGGUGUAGCGGUGAAAUGCUUAGAGAUCAUACAGAACACCGAUUGCGAAGGCAGCUUACCAAACUAUAUCUGACGUUGAGGCACGAAAGCGUGGGGAGCAAACAGGAUUAGAUACCCUGGUAGUCCACGCAGUAAACGAUGAUAACUCGUUGUCGGCGAUACACAGUCGGUGACUAAGCGAAAGCGAUAAGU